rnacentral:rRNA from 1 species
UACGGAGGGGGCUAGCGUUGUUCGGAAUUACUGGGCGUAAAGCGCGCGUAGGCGGACCUGCAAGUCGGGGGUGAAAGCCCGAGGCUCAACCCUCGGAACUGCCUUCGAUACUGCGGGUCUCGAGUCCGGGAGAGGUGAGUGGAAUUCCUAGUGUAGAGGUGAAAUUCGUAGAUAUUAGGAAGAACACCAGUGGCGAAGGCGGCUCACUGGCUCGGUACUGACGCUGAGGCGCGAAAGCGUGGGGAGCAAACAGG